UUUUUAGAAAUACAAAAUAUGGGGCCUCAUUGAGGACCAAUCAGAAAGGCUGGGAGUGGGGCUCAACACCUGUGUCUUCACAUCUCACCGGGGUCCUUCCCUCUCAGAUAAGAAAGUCUCCUUGCUAAGACUCAGCCCUAGUCUAGUCCCUCUGUAAUUCACUGGUUCUCAACACUUUCUGCACGUUGGGAUCACUUUUACAAACACAAAUGCCUGGCUCUCACUCCCAGAAAUUCUGAUUUGACUUGUCUGGGGUGCUGCCUGAGCAAAGAGAUUUUUAAGCAUUUUCAGGUGGUUCUAAUGACAGUCAAGGUUAAGUGUCUCUGCUUUCAUUCCUUCCUAAGGGGUUCCCUCUCAACCCCAUCCUAUUGAAACUGCCUUCUCUGUCUGAAGCUUGGGGUGGGAACUGACUCUCCCUAUGUUGUUGUCCCCCCCUUGGCCUCUAUCAUUUUUCUCCUCUUGUUUUCCCAGCUUUGCUAACCACACCUUCUUGUUUCUCUUCCUGAAUAAAACUGUGGCCCAUUUCCCAGAUCUCAGCUUUCUUCUCAGCCACGCCCCCUAUCUCUCCUCUUCCUGCAAUGUUAACUCUGAAAUCCAGCUCUAACCUCUAGCACUUCUCCACCUGCCAGGUCCAACUUUCUGGCUUCCAUCAUACCUGGCAUGAAUUAAAAGCUGAAUUCAUGCUGACUGAGCUGAAUCACAUCCCUGAGGAGGCUCCUACUCUUGGCCAGAACUUUGUGGAUGUCUAUUGAAGAAUUAAUGCUUUUGAACUGUGGUGUUGGAGAAGACUCUUGAGAGU